CUAGUUUAGAGGUGAAUUCGUAGAUAUUAGAAAGAAUACCGAUUGCGAAGGCAGCUUUCUGGAUCAUUACUGACACUGAGGAACGAAAGCAUGGGUAGCGAAGAGGAUUAGAUACCCUCGUAGUCCAUGCCGUAAACGAUGUGUGUUAGACGUUGGAAAUUUAUUUUCAGUGUCGCAGGGAAACCGAUAAACACACCGCCUGGGGAGUACGACCGCAAGGUUAAAACUCAAAUGAAUUGACGGGGACCCGCACAAGUAGUGGAGCAUGUGGUUUAAUUCGAAGAUACGCGCAGAACCUUACCAACACUUGACAUGUUCGUCGCGACUCUAAGAGAUUAGAGUUUUCGGUUCGGCCGGACGAAACACAGGUGCUGCAUGGCUGUCGUCAGCUCGUGUCGUGAGAUGUUGGGUUAAGUCCCGCAACGAGCGCAACCCUCACUUUUAGUUGCCAUCAUUAAGUUGGGCACUCUGAAAGAACUGCCAGUGAUAAGCUGGAGGAAGGUGGGGAUGACGUCAAGUCCUCAUGGCCCUUACGUGUCGGGCUACACACGUGCUACAAUGGCAUCUACAACAGGAAGCAAAACGGCAACGUUAAGCAAAUCCCGAAAAGAUGCCUCAGUUCGGAUUGCACUCUGCAACUCGAGUGCAUGAAGCUGGAAUUACUAGUAAUCGUGGAUCAGCGUGCCACGGUGAAUGCGUUCCCGGGUCUUGUACACACCGCCCGUCACACCAUGGGAGUUGGUUCUACCUUAAGGCAAGGUUUUAAACCCUUGACCACGGUAUAGUCAGCGACUGGGGUGUAGUCGUAACAAGGUACCCG
rnacentral:rRNA from 1 species